UAGUGAACCAGUACCGUGAGGGAAAGGUGAAAAGAACCGCGGGAGCGGAGUGAAAGAGAACCUGAAACCGUAUGCCUACAAGAAGUCAGAGCCCGUUAAGGGGUGAUGGCGUGCCUUUUGUAGAAUGAACCGGCGAGUUGCGACAGACUGCGAGGUUAAGGAGGAAAGACCGGAGCCGAAGCGAAAGCGAGUCUUAAGAGGGCGAAAGUAGGAUGUUGCAGACCCGAAACCGGGUGAUCUAGCCAUGAGCAGGUUGAAGUUGAGGUGAAACUCAAUGGAGGACCGAACCGACUACCGUUGAAAAGUUAGCGGAUGACUUGUGGCUAGGGGAGAAAUUCCAAUCGAACCCGGAGAUAGCUGGUUCUCCCCGAAAUAGCUUUAGGGCUAGCGUCGGAAAGAACCUUAGUGAAGGUAGAGCACUGAAUGUGUGAUGGCCCCAUCCCGGGGUACUGAAUACAAUCAAACUGCGAAUGUCAUUAAGGAUGUCCGGCAGUCAGACUGUGAGUGAUAAGGUCCAUGGUCAAGAGGGAAACAGCCCAGACCGCCAGUUAAGGUCCCAAAAUACAGGCUAAGUGGAAAAGGAUGUGGGGAUGCCCAGACAACUAGGAGGUUGGCUCAGAAGCAGCCAUCCUUUAAAGAGUGCGUAACAGCUCACUAGUCGAGUGACCCUGCGCCGAAAAUGUACCGGGGCUAAGCCUGAUACCGAAACUGCGGAUUGUAGGAAACUAUAGUGGUAGGGGAGCGUUGUAUACGAGCAGAAGCCGUACCGUGAGGAGCGGUGGAUUGUAUAGAAGUGAGAAUGCCGGUGUGAGUAGCGAGAUGUAGGUGAGAAUCCUACACACCGAAAGCCCAAGGAUUCCAGGGGAAGGUUCGUCCGCCCUGGGUAAGUCGGGACCUAACGCGAGGCCGAAAGGCGUAGUGGAUGGAAAGCAGGCGAAAGAUUCCUGCACCCGUAUAUGGAGCGAAGGAGUGACGGAGACGGAUAGUGUGACCCUCUUAAUGGAUUGAGGGCGAAGCGAAGCGGCUGGUUACCAGGCAAAUCCGGUAACCAAAAGGCUAGAGCGUGACAGGUAAGCGAAAUCUUAGGAAAGUAGCGAAGCACAUGAUGACGGCUUCCAGGAAAAGCUUCUGGCAAUGCAUAUGCGGCCCGUACCAAAACCGACACAGGUGGGCAGGGAGAGAAUCCCGAGGUGAGCGAGAGAACUGUUGCCAAGGAACUCGGCAAAAUGACUCCGUAAGUUAGCGAGAAGGAGUGCUUAAGCAAUUAAGCCGCAGUGAAGAGGCCCAAGCGACUGUUUAACUAAAACACAGCUCUCUGCGAAGUCGCAAGACGAAGUAUAGGGGGUGACACCUGCCCGGUGCUGGAAGGUUAAGAGGAUCUGUUAAGAGCGAUCUGAAGCAGUGAUCCGAAGCCCCAGUGAACGGCGGCCGUAACUAUAACGGUCCUAAGGUAGCGAAAUUCCUUGUCAGGUAAG
rnacentral:rRNA from 1 species